CAGGCCUAACACAUGCAAGUCGAACGGUAACAGCACUUCGGUGGCUGACGAGUGGCGCACGGGUGCGUAACGCGUAUACAAUCUACCUUUUACAGAGGGAUAGCCCAGAGAAAUGUGGAUAAAUACCCCAUGGCAUAUAUUUAUGGCAUCAUAUUUAUAUUAAAGAUUCAUCGGUAAGAGAUGAGUAUGCGUUCUAUUAGCUAGUUGGUGCGGUAACGGCGCACCAAGGCUACGAUAGAUAGGGGCCCUGAGAGGGGGAUCCCCCACACUGGUACUGAGACACGGACCAGACCCCUACGGGAGGCAGCAGUGAGGAAUAUUGGACAAUGGGCGAGAGCCUGAUCCAGCCAUGCCGCGUGCAGGAAGACUGCCCUAUGGGUUGUAAACUGCUUUUAUACGGGAAGAAACUCCCCCUCGUGAGGGGGCUUGACGGUACCGUAAGAAUAAGGAUCGGCUAACUCCGUGCCAGCAGCCGCGGUAAUACGGAGGAUCCAAGCGUUAUCCGGAAUCAUUGGGUUUAAAGGGUCCGUAGGUGGAUAAUUAAGUCAGAGGUGAAAUCCUGCAGCUCAACUGUAGAAUUGCCUUUGAUACUGGUUAUCUUGAGUCAUUAUGAAGUAGUUAGAAUAUGUAGUGUAGCGGUGAAAUGCAUAGAUAUUACAUAGAAUACCGAUUGCCAAGGCAGAUUACCAAUAAUAUACUGACACUGAGGGACGAAAGCGUGGGGAGCGAACAGGAUUAGAUACCCUGGUAGUCCACGCCGUAAACGAUGGUUACUAGCUGUUUGUUCGGACUUCGGUUUGAGUGGCUAAGCGAAAGUGAUAAGUGACCCACCUGGGGAGUACGUUCGCAAGAAUGAAACUCAAAGGAAUUGACGGGGGCCCGCACAAGCGGUGGAGCAUGUGGUUUAAUUCGAUGAUACGCGAGGAACCUUACCAGGGCUUAAAUGUAAGUUGCAUAAGCUAGAGAUAGCUUUUUCUUCGGACCACUUACAAGGUGCUGCAUGGUUGUCGUCAGCUCGUGCCGUGAGGUGUCAGGUUAAGUCCUAUAACGAGCGCAACCCCUGUUGUUAGUUGCCAGCGAGUGAAGUCGGGAACUCUAACAAGACUGCCGGUGCAAACCGUGAGGAAGGUGGGGAUGACGUCAAAUCAUCACGGCCCUUACGUCCUGGGCUACACACGUGCUACAAUGGCCGGUACAGAGAGCAGCCACACCGUAAGGUGGAGCGAAUCUACAAAACCGGUCUCAGUGCGGAUCGGGGUCUGCAACUCGACCCCGUGAAGCUGGAAUCGCUAGUAAUCGGAUAUCAGCCAUGAUCCGGUGAAUACGUUCCCGGGCCUUGUACACACCGCCC
rnacentral:rRNA from 1 species